CAAGUCUGGUGCCAGCAGCCGCGGUAAUUCCAGCUCCAAUAGCGUAUAUUAAAGUUGUUGCAGUUAAAAAGCUCGUAGUUGGAUCUCGGGUCCAGGCCUGUGGUUCCUUUAACGAGGACACUGCUUGCCCUGACCUACCUGCCGGUUUUCCCUUGGUGCUCUGGACUGAAUGUCUCGGGUAGCCGGAACGUUUACUUUGAAAAAAUUAGAGUGUUCAAAGCAGGCAUUUCGCCUGAAUACUGGUGCAUGGAAUAAUAGAAUAGGACCUCGGUUCUAUUUUGUUGGUUUUCGGAACUUGAGGUAAUGAUUAAAAGGGACAGACGGGGGCAUUCGUAUUACGGUGUUAGAGGUGAAAUUCUUG
rnacentral:rRNA from 1 species